CACACCCUAACCUCGGUGGGAAGCCGUGUUUGAAGCUAAAGGUGUACGUCAAGCCUACCAAUGACUCUCUGUACGAGUCUCCAGAGCCGUUCCUGACAGAUGACUCCAGCGGUGGUUGGGCAUUAACGCCCAAUCUGUGGCUCAUGCUUCCGCUGCUUCUGCUCCUGUGUCCCUCAUAGCAUUAUCACCCUCUGAGCAUGACCACGCCCACCCAACCUGCCCCGCCCCACCCCAUCAUGCAUCACAAUGACAUGCCACGCCCCUUCAGUUCUGGAGUCCAGCCAACAGACGUUGAUAUGGAUUUUUACCCAGCCUGCAACCCUGCAGGACAGCCACUAACCAGCCCUCAAUUAUGCCCCGCCCAAAUGCCCAAAUUUGUGCAUUCCUGCAUCAGCGCUCUUGCUCCACUGACAAAAGACAUGUGAAUUGGCCAGCUUUUUUGAGAGCGCUCUACUUUUCUGCCAACAUCCCACCAUCAUCCGCGUGUCAGGAGAUAGAUUCAACCGACUGCCAUCUGAAUCGCUCUGUUUGUCUGCGUUAACCACCUACCUGAGCCUUCACUGUCAUCUGAGCUCAAUUUUCACGUUUGUGAGAGCGUGUGCGAGUGUUGAUGCUCGUGUGUGUUUGUGCUCGUUGGUGCGCGUAUGCCGAUGUUCGCAUAUGAACAAAUGUACAGAGCAGUCACAGUCCCUUACAAAAUUACUAGAAAAACUUGUUCCAUUACUCAUUGAGAGAAGAAGACAAUUCUAUCUGUGAAUCUGCCAAAGACACUACUUAAACUUUUUUAAGGGAAAAUACUGGCUUUGAUAGGAGAUUACAUGCAACCAUGGAACAUUUCAGGCUUUUAGAGUCAUGGGAGGGGAGUGACAGACAACAGUGUAGAUUUUUCUAUUAUAAUCUUUUUUUGUCAUACAAAAAAGAAACAAAAAAAACAAGAAUGUUGCAUAGAUUUUAAAAAAAAAAAACAGCUCAAAAUUGCCUUUUUUCACUGGUGCUUAAUCUGAAAUGAGCUUGUCUGUCUUGAACUG